rnacentral:rRNA from 1 species
GACGAACGCUGGCGGCGUGCUUAACACAUGCAAGUCGAACGAUGAAGGAGGAGCUUGCUCCUCUGGAUUAGUGGCGAACGGGUGAGUAACACGUGAGCAAUCUGCCCUUGACUCUGGGAUAAGCGCUGGAAACGGCGUCUAAUACCGGAUACGACCCUCGGAGGCAUCUCCUGUGGGUGGAAAGAACUUCGGUCAAGGAUGAGCUCGCGGCCUAUCAGCUUGUUGGUGAGGUAAUGGCUCACCAAGGCGACGACGGGUAGCCGGCCUGAGAGGGUGACCGGCCACACUGGGACUGAGACACGGCCCAGACUCCUACGGGAGGCAGCAGUGGGGAAUAUUGCACAAUGGGCGCAAGCCUGAUGCAGCAACGCCGCGUGAGGGACGACGGCCUUCGGGUUGUAAACCUCUUUUAGCAGGGAAGAAGCGAGAGUGACGGUACCUGCAGAAAAAGCACCGGCUAACUCCGUGCCAGCAGCCGCCGUAAGAC